CAGAAAUAGCUGGUUCUCUAUGAAAUUUAUUUAAGUAAAAAAUUUAGUAUAAAUUUUCAGAUUAUAAGUUAAAAGAUUUAUAAUCAAAAGAAAGACAAUUCUAGACUAAUAAGAAAAAACUCAAUUUAUAUAAUUUAAAAUAGGUCAUGAUAAAGACAAUUAGGAAGUAGGCUUAGAACCAGUCAUAUUAGUAAAAUUACGUAAUAGUUUACUAAAUAAAAAUUAUACUUAAAUAAUUAAGUAAAAAAAAUUUUAUUUAUAGUUUUAGUAGUAGAGUUUUAUUAAAUAUAUUUUGUGAAAAUUUAAUAAGAAAUAAUGUAAGUAUGAGUAGAAUAAAAUUUAUUCUUGAGAGCUCUUAAUGAAUUAGUAAUUAAGUUAAAGCAGUCCCUAAAUAAAAAAUGGGUAAAGCAAGAUUUUAGGCUAGAAAAAUUUGUUUGAAUUUCUGUAUAAUCUAAAUCAAGCAAGAAUACUAAAAAAAAUAAAUUUCCCCUAAGGAACUCGACAAAAUCAGAUAUCGACUGUUUACCAAAAACAUAGCCUCUAUAAAAAUAUUAGAGGUGAUGCCUGCCCAGUGGGGAUGGUAUAAAAAAUUAUAGUGAAAUUUUAUUUUCCCUAAACGGAUGCGGUAACUCUGACUGUAAUAAAGUAGCAUAAUUAAUUGUCAUUUAAUUGGUGGAGAGAAUGAAUGGCUAAACGUAUGUCUCAUUGUCUUGGGGGAAAGUUUUUGAAAUUAGAAUAAUAGUGAAGAUCCUAUUAAUCACCGUUAGACGAAAAGACCCUAUAGAGCUUGACUAUACUCUGGAAAUGACUUUCUGGAUUGGUAGUUUAGUUGGGGCGACUAUCUUUUAUAAGUAACAAAGAUAAGCAUAAUAAUGAAAAAGUUUUAUUGUUUAAUUAAUAAAUUUAACAAUUACUAAAGUAGGCUAUAAUGACCCAUUAGAAUUAAAAUAAAUCUAAUGAUUAUUAAAUAAAAGCUACCUUAGGGAUAACAGGAUAAUUUUGUUUUAGAGAUCAUAUCAAAUACAAAGUUUGUCACCUCUAUGUUGAAUUAAGAUGACCGAAUAAUGCAGAAGUUAUUUAAGGUAGGUCUGUUCGACCUUUAAAAUCUUACAUGAUUUGAGUUCAUUCCGUCGUAAGACAGGAAGGUUUCUAUCUUCGGUUUUAGAUCAUAAAAGACUUUUAGUACGAAAGGAAGUAAGUCUCUACUAAUCAAUAAUUUCAAUUAGGAUAAAAAAAUUGAAUGCUUCUAAAUUUAAUUUUAUGAUUGAUAAUUA
rnacentral:rRNA from 1 species